rnacentral:rRNA from 1 species
AGUGAACGCUGGCGGUAGGCCUAACACAUGCAAGUCGAACGGCAGCACAGGAGAGCUUGCUCUCUGGGUGGCGAGUGGCGGACGGGUGAGGAAUACAUCGGAAUCUACUUUUUCGUGGGGGAUAACGUAGGGAAACUUACGCUAAUACCGCAUACGACCUACGGGUGAAAGCAGGGGAUCUUCGGACCUUGCGCGAUUGAAUGAGCCGAUGUCGGAUUAGCUAGUUGGCGGGGUAAAGGCCCACCAAGGCGACGAUCCGUAGCUGGUCUGAGAGGAUGAUCAGCCACACUGGAACUGAGACACGGUCCAGACUCCUACGGGAGGCAGCAGUGGGGAAUAUUGGACAAUGGCGCAAGCCUGAUCCAGCCAUACCGCGUGGGUGAAGAAGGCCUUCGGGUUGUAAAGCCCUUUUGUUGGGAAAGAAAUCCAGCUGGCUAAUACCCGGUUGGGAUGACGGUACCCAAAGAAUAAGCACCGGCUAACUUCGUGCCAGCCGCCCUGUAA